CUGUGGAUUCUUGUUAUCAAACCUUUGUCAGAAGCAUAUAGUUUACACAACCAGACACCAUACAAAAGCAGUCUUCCCUUUAAAAUGACCGAUGAUAUGCUAAGUUAUUUCAUGGUAUAUCAUUAUUAAAGGUGAACACAAAU